AGCUGUGGCACACACCAGCCCAGUGGAGAAGCCAGUUCAUCCGGGACCAGCGUGUGGAGUGUAAGCCCUCAAACUGAAGUGGAACUGCUAAUUAGUGGAGGCACAAACCUUCACCUUGUAACUCUGCUUAAAUCUUCAGAAGAAUAAACUCGAGUUUGUGAAGGCUGCAGAACAAAGGAUGGUUCUUCUGGCUUUUCUCUGCCACAGUCCUAACUGAGGUAUGACCGCACAGGAUAGAGAGUUCAUCCCUCCAGAGAUGUUGCAGCUGGCUCUGAGGAACCUCAGCUUAGUGGAAUAUUGCUCCUGCAUUUGAAGAGGUCACUGUCACUGGCAGAAAGAGACAAAGGAACAGUUUCAAGA
rnacentral:lncRNA from 1 species